rnacentral:rRNA from 1 species
CGAUACGAGUUUGAUCCUGGCUCAGGAUGAACGCUAGCGGCAGGCCUAACACAUGCAAGUCGAGGGGCAGCAGGGGUAGCAAUACCCGCUGGCGACCGGCGCACGGGUGAGUAACGCGUAUGCAACCUACCCUCCGCAGGGGGAUAGCCCGCCGAAAGGCGGAUUAAUACCCCAUCGUCCCGGUGAACGGCAUCGUUUACCGGGUAAAGGAGCAAUCCGGCGGAGGAUGGGCAUGCGUGCCAUUAGCUAGUUGGCGGGGUAACAGCCCACCAAGGCGACGAUGGCUCGGGGGUCUGAGAGGAUGGUCCCCCACACUGGUACUGAGACACGGACCAGACUCCUACGGGAGGCAGCAGUGAGGAAUAUUGGUCAAUGGGCGAAAAGCCUGAACCAGCCAUGCCGCGUGCAGGAAGACGGCCCUACGGGUUGUAAACUGCUUUUCCGGGGGAAGAAUAAGGGCGAUACGUCGUCCGAUGCCGGUACCCCGGGAAUAAGGAUCGGCUAACUCCGUG